rnacentral:rRNA from 1 species
AUCAUCUACACCGACGAGGAGGCCUAUUGGCGGUUGCGUGGCUCCCAGAAAUGGGUAUUGAAGGGCGACGCAAACACAGCCUACUUUCAGGCCAUUGUGAAUGGCCGCCAUAGACACAACAUCAUCCCCCUCAUCUGGGAUGGCGCGACCCUUCUGCAGUCCCCUUGUGACAUUCGGGCCCAUGUCGACGGGUUCUACAGGUCCCUGUUCUUCUUCGCUCCUAGGAGUGGAUUAUAUCUGGCCCAUGAUUAUUGGACUGGCCACCAGCUAGUUUCUACGAUAGAGAACAAAGCCCUUACGGCCCCCUUCUCCGAGGGCGAGGUCUGGGCUGCCAUUAGAGGCAUGAACCCUACCUCAGCCCCGGGUCUGGAUGGCCUCCCGGUUAAAUUCUUCCAGACCUUCUGGAAUGUGAUUAAGCCUGAGAUCAUGGCCAUCUUCGACGAGUGCUAUGUUGGGUCCAUCGACCUCGGGCGCCUCAACUAUGGGAUCAUUUUGCUCAUCCCUAAAGUGCCUGGGGCUUUUGACAUCCGCCAGUUUCGACCGAUCACGAUAAUCAAUGUGAUCUUUCGGAUUCUGGUAAAACGGUACGACCACAUUACCCACCCCAACCAGUCCGCCUUCAUUCAAGGGCGGUAUAUUCUGGAUGGGGUGCUAGUACUCCAUGAAGUCUUGCAUGAGGUCCAGUCUAAACACCUCAUGGCAGUCUUCCUGAAGAUCGAUUUCCAUAAGGCGUACAACACUGUCAGUUGGCUCUUCUGUUGGGGAACGUAG